rnacentral:rRNA from 1 species
GGGUUGUGAGGUUAAGCGACUAAGCGUACACGGUGGAUGCCCUGGCAGUCAGAGGCGAUGAAGGACGUGCUAAUCUGCGAUAAGCGUCGGUAAGGUGAUAUGAACCGUUAUAACCGGCGAUUUCCGAAUGGGGAAACCCAGUGUGAUUCGUCACACUAUCAUUAACUGAAUCCAUAGGUUAAUGAGGCGAACCGGGGGAACUGAAACAUCUAAGUACCCCGAGGAAAAGAAAUCAACCGAGAUUCCCCCAGUAGCGGCGAGCGAACGGGGAGCAGCCCAGAGUCUGAAUCAGUGUGUGUGUUAGUGGAAGCGUCUGGAAAGGCGCGCGAUACAGGGUGACAGCCCCGUACACAAAAAUGCACAUGCUGUGAGCUCGAUGAGUAGGGCGGGACACGUGGUAUCCUGUCUGAAUAUGGGGGGACCAUCCUCCAAGGCUAAAUACUCCUGACUGACCGAUAGUGAACCAGUACCGUGAGGGAAAGGCGAAAAGAACCCCGGCGAGGGGAGUGAAAAAGAACCUGAAACCGUGUACGUACAAGCAGUGGGAGCACGCUUAGGCGUGUGACCGCGUACCUUUUGUAUAAUGGGUCAGCGACUUAUAUUCUGUAGCAAGGUUAACCGAAUAGGGGAGCCGAAGGGAAACCGAGUCUUAACUGGGCGUUAAGUUGCAGGGUAUAGACCCGAAACCCGGUGAUCUAGCCAUGGGCAGGUUGAAGGUUGGGUAACACUAACUGGAGGACCGAACCGACUAAUGUUGAAAAAUUAGCGGAUGACUUGUGGCUGGGGGUGAAAGGCCAAUCAAACCGGGAGAUAGCUGGUUCUCCCCGAAAGCUAUUUAGGUAGCGCCUCGUGAACUCAUCUCCGGGGGUAGAGCACUGUUUCGGCAAGGGGGUCAUCCCGACUUACCAACCCGAUGCAAACUGCGAAUACCGGAGAAUGUUAUCACGGGAGACACACGGCGGGUGCUAACGUCCGUCGUGAAGAGGGAAACAACCCAGACCGCCAGCUAAGGUCCCAAAGUCAUGGUUAAGUGGGAAACGAUGUGGGAAGGCCCAGACAGCCAGGAUGUUGGCUUAGAAGCAGCCAUCAUUUAAAGAAAGCGUAAUAGCUCACUGGUCGAGUCGGCCUGCGCGGAAGAUGUAAUGGGGCUAAACCAUGCACCGAAGCUGCGGCA